GAAGCACGGAGCGAUGUAGCUGUGUGGCCCCAGAGCCAGGGCCAGACACUUGGGUAGAGACGGGGUUUCGCCAUGUUGGCCAGGCUGGUCUCGCACUCCUGACCUCAAGUGAUCCGCCUGCCUUGGCCUCCCAAAGUGCUGGGAUUACAGACGUGAAGCCACUGCGCCCGGCUGGUUGCUGGCAGAGGUGGUUGGGGCUAUGUGCCUGGAGUGAAGAUUCUGCCCAUUGGUCAAGAGACCUCCCUCUCAGAUGCUGGCUCUGCCCCUGCCUUUGGGGGUCGACCCUUGUACUCGCAGGACCUUAGGUGACUCUGACUUUGUCAAAGGAAAAAUUUCUGCAUGUGCACACACAGAUCUUGGAAGUUUAUUCAUCUCAGCAGAGGCAGACAGGAGCAUCAACAGCCUUGGGGACAGCAGCAGUGGUGGUGAAGUCUGACUCUGUCGCCCAGGCUGAAGUGCAGUGCCACAAUCUCGGCUCACUGCAACCUCCACCUCCCGGGUCCAAGCCAUUCUUGUGCCUUAGCCUCCUGAGUAGCUGGGAUUGCAGAUUCUACUUCUCUGAUCAUCCAGGAAGCCAACCUGCCUGAGGACGAGUCAUACUCUGUCCUCCCACCCCAGGCCAGAGAGUGGUAUCUGUCUGUCCACAAGUUGCCAACCCUUCUGCCCUGGAGACCUGAGUUGCCUGUGCUUCAACACCAUUCUUCAUUCUGCCUUUCACAAAAUGUACCACCUAAGUGAUAAG
rnacentral:antisense_RNA from 1 species